rnacentral:rRNA from 1 species
UACGUAGGGUGCAAGCGUUGUCCGGAAUUAUUGGGCGUAAAGAGCUCGUAGGCGGCCUGUCACGUCGGCUGUGAAAACCCGGGGCUCAACCCCGGGCCUGCAGUCGAUACGGGCAGGCUAGAGUUCGGCAGGGGAGACUGGAAUUCCUGGUGUAGCGGUGAAAUGCGUAGAUAUUGGGAGGAACACCGGUGGCGAAGGCGGCCCCCUGGACCGGUACUGACGCUGAGGCGCGAAAGCGUGGGUAGCAAACGGG